UGAACGCUGGCGGCGUGCUUAACACAUGCAAGUCGAACGAGAGGACAGGAGCUUGCUCCUGGGCUCUAGUGGCAGACGGGUGAGUAACGCGUGGGCAAUCUACCUCCAAGCGGGGGAUACCCAGCCGAAAGGCUGGUUAAUACCGCAUAAUACUCGGAGCACCUAGGUGCUCCAAGUCAAAGUUGGGGAUUCGGGAAACCGAACCUGGCACUGGGAGAGGAGCUCGCGUCAGAUUAGCUAGUUGGUGGGGUAAUGGCUCACCAAGGCAUCGAUCUGUAGCCGGCCUGAGAGGGUGAUCGGCCACACUGGAACUGAGACACGGUCCAGACUCCUACGGGAGGCAGCAGUGGGGAAUUUUGCGCAAUGGGGGAAACCCUGACGCAGCAACGCCGCGUGGGUGAAGAAGCAUCUUGGUGUGUAAAGCCCUGUCGACAAGGACUAAGGUCAUCCGUUUAAUAAUCAGGUGACUUGACUGUACUUGUAGAGGAAGCCCCGGCUAACUCC
rnacentral:rRNA from 1 species